CAGAACGAGGGGGCAGGAGAGAGAGAGAGAGAGAGAGAGAGAGAGUCGAAGAGUGGCAGCGAAUCGAAGCUGCUUCCUCUACUUCUUCGUGAUUCAGAAGGGCCGGCAAGGGUUUUAUUGGAUUCCUAAUUAUCAUUCCAAUGCUCAAUUUAUGCCAUUAGUAAAUCUUUUAUGGUGGAAGUGUGAUAUGUGACAGUGUUUGCACAUCAAUUGCGUCCUUAGUUCUUGUUCUUUUCUACUCAUUGUUUCAUAGCAACCUGUUUAUUGGUUAUAAGUUCUUCAUAGAAUGGCAGUCGGGAUUCACAUGAGGAGAAGAGUUGUCCGUAAUAAGUUUUCCGAUGGACGUCGAGGCGGAUAUGCCAGGGAAGAUUCUGAUGGUGAGGUCUUUGCAAAAGUGGAAGAAUUAGAUCACUUAUCUAAUGUGAGGUCGAAAGGAAGAAGUUUGCGGACGAAUAUCAAGCAGAGCGAUAAAACAUUUGCCAGAGGAGAAGAAAAUGAUUCCAAGCUUUCUCGAUGGAGAAUGAGGAGAUCGGUUUCUAAGGAUGCAGGGAAGGAAAGUAACCUUUUGUUGAGGACGCGGAAGGAAUGGGGUAAGGAUGCUGAUGUUGCUAGAAAGGGUAGAGCUGGUGAUGUGAGAUUGUUUGCAGGGAAACCUGUUAGGGCAAUGCGGAAAACUGUUGAUCGUGAUUUUUCCGAUCAUGAACAUGAUAAUGGGGGUUUCUACAGAAGAAAAGAAAGGAACAUGCAAACUGAAGCAUAUGCUCGAAAAAUUAGUUUGAAAAGGCGAAAGUUUGAUGGGGAAUUAGCUGAUAAUGUCUGUGAUGUAGAAAUGGAUGGAUUGGAGAAGCCGGCUACGAUUAAAGUUGGAGAAAAUCAAAUUUCUGAGCAAAAGCCUAUCAGAAGGCCAACUCGGUUGCUGGACAAAACUGGUAAGAAGAUAAGAGUUCAAACAAAAUCCAUUGAAAAUGGCUUAACUGAGACCAGUGCUUCCAAGAAGAAAACUAGGCGAGUUAUCAAGAUAGACCCAUAUGAUUUUUCAAAUAAAAGAUUAAUUGACGGUGCUCCUAGAAGUGACAUCUCUGUGGAGAAAGAAACUGUGGUUUCAAUGAAUGCUCAGUUUCGUUCGAUACAACCAAGCGACGAAAUCCUCUCCUUUGUGGAAGAAAAUCUGCUGGGACGUAGGCGUUUGAUUGAGUUGCAAAAUGCCGGCUACAAUGUGAAGCUAUCGGCUCCAUUAGAUAACACACCAUUUUCUACUGCAACAGAGAGGGAAAAGAUCGAGGACAAUGUAUUUCGGAAUAAGUUGGAAUUUUUUGCAGCUGCAAAGAUUUCCUCAUCUUUCCCUUCUCCAACACUUCCUGAGAUAGCAUUUGCAGGCAGGUCAAAUGUUGGCAAAUCAUCAUUGCUAAAUGCACUUACCAGACAAUGGGGUGUGGUGAGAACAUCAGAUAAGCCUGGCUUGACUCAGACCAUCAACUUUUUCAAACUCGCCUCAAAGCUUUGUUUGGUUGAUCUUCCUGGUUAUGGCUUUGCUUAUGCUAAAGAAGAAGUCAAGGAAAAUUGGGAGGAGCUUGUGAAGGAGUUUGUAUCCUCUCGGGUUGGAUUGCAGAGGGUUUGUCUUCUAGUUGAUACAAAAUGGGGCAUGAAAGCGAGGGACUUUGAACUCAUAGAUUUGAUGGAACGAUCCAAAACACCUUACCAAAUCGUCUUAACUAAGACCGACAUCGUUUUCCCCAUAGAUGUUGCUCGACGUGCGAUGCAAAUCCAAGAGAAUUUAAAGAAUAACAAUUCGAUUAUUAACCCAGUGAUGAUGGUGAGUUCCAAGUCAGGAGCUGGAGUCCGCACUCUGAGAAGCGUGCUUGCUAAAAUUGCACGUUUCGUGAAGCCGUGAAGGGGGUCAUGUUGAACUUGCUGGGGUCAUGAACUCACAAGUGUCACCCAAACUCACCAAAAGCUUACUCUCGCAUUAUCAAUCCUGCUCGUCAAGCUUAGAAGCCACUCAUUAAGUCAAAUAAAAGCUACUCGCCAUCGGUAAUUCAAACGCAUCAACCAUGAUCUCGUGGAUGUCACUUUCUUUUUCUCUGACUAUCGACUACUUCGCCCACCAUGAAUCAAAUCGUUUUACAUCGAUUUGCUUGACAUCGCCACCACCCCACUGAGGUCACUAAAGCUAGUUAAACCUUAUCUUGUAGAAAGUGAUUGUAAACUUCUAGAGUUUUGAUUGGGUAAAGGUCAUAACCGCAUACCUAAUUAGUUGACUUAUUUUACUUAUAUUAUUGGCCGGUACGCGUCCACAAGUUAUUUUUUGAG